GACGAACGCUGGCGGCGUGCUUAACACAUGCAAGUCGUACGGUAAGGCCCUUUCGGGGGUACACGAGUGGCGAACGGGUGAGUAACACGUGAGUAACCUGCCCCCAACUUUGGGAUAACGCUAGGAAACUGGUGCUAAUACUGGAUAUGUGCUCCUGCUGCAUGGUGGGGGUUGGAAAGCUCCGGCGGUUGUGGAUGGACUCGCGGCCUAUCCGCUUGUUGGUGGGGUAGUGGCCUACCAAGGCGGCGACGGGUAGCCGGCCUGAGAGGGUGACCGGCCACAUUGGGACUGAGAGACGGCGCAGACUCCUACGGGAGGCAGCAGUGGGGAGUAUUGCACAAUGGGCGCGAGCCUGAGGCAGCAACGCCGCGUGCGUGAUAACGGCCUUCGGGUUGUAAACCGCUGUCAGCAGGGACGAAGCUUUUUGUGACGGUACCUGCAGAAGAAGCACCGGCUAACUACGUG
rnacentral:rRNA from 1 species